UACGUAGGGUGCAAGCGUUAAUCGGAAUUACUGGGCGUAAAGCGUGCGCAGGCGGUUUUGUAAGUCAGAUGUGAAAUCCCCGGGCUUAACCUGGGAACUGCGUUUGAAACUACAAGGCUAGAGUGUGGCAGAGGGGGGUGGAAUUCCACGUGUAGCAGUGAAAUGCGUAGAGAUGUGGAGGAACACCGAUGGCGAAGGCAGCCCCUGGGUUAACACUGACGCUCAGGCACGAAAACGUGGGGAGCAAACAGG
rnacentral:rRNA from 1 species